GACGAACGCUGGCGGCGUGCUUAACACAUGCAAGUCGAACGCUGAAGCUUGGUGCUUGCACUGGGUGGAUGAGUGGCGAACGGGUGAGUAAUACGUGAGUAACCUGCCCUUGACUCUGGGAUAAGCCUGGGAAACUGGGUCUAAUACUGGAUACGACAUGCCACUGCAUGGUGGUGUGUGGAAAGGGUUUUACUGGUUUUGGAUGGGCUCACGGCCUAUCAGCUUGUUGGUGGGGUAAUGGCCUACCAAGGCGACGACGGGUAGCCGGCCUGAGAGGGUGACCGGCCACACUGGGACUGAGACACGGCCCAGACUCCUACGGGAGGCAGCAGUGGGGAAUAUUGCACAAUGGGCGGAAGCCUGAUGCAGCGACGCCGCGUGAGGGAUGACGGCCUUCGGGUUGAAAACCUCUUUCAGCACGGAAGAAGCGAGAGUGACGGUACGUGCAGAAGAAGCGCCGGCUAACUACGUG
rnacentral:rRNA from 1 species